CAGGCCUAAUACAUGCAAGUCGAGGGGCAGCAGGACUUUUCGGAGUUGCUGGCGACCGGCGCACGGGUGCGUAACGCGUAUGCAAUCUACCCAUAGCAGAGGGAUAGCCCGUGGAAACAUGGAUUAAUACCUCAUAAGACAUUUUGAUCACCUGAUCGAGAUGUUAAAGCUCCGGCGGCUAUGGAUGAGCAUGCGUCCCAUUAGCUAGUUGGUACGAUAACUGCGUACCAAGGCGAUGAUGGGUAGGGGUUCUGAGAGGAUGAUCCCCCACACUGGUACUGAGAUACGGACCAGACUCCUACGGGAGGCAGCAGUAGGGAAUAUUGGUCAAUGGACGCAAGUCUGAACCAGCCAUGCCGCGUGCAGGAAGACAGCCUUCUGGGUUGUAAACUGCUUUUCUCAGGGAAGAAAACACUCUUGCGAGAGGGAUUGCCGGUACCUGAGGAAUAAGCACCGG
rnacentral:rRNA from 1 species